rnacentral:rRNA from 1 species
UACGUAGGGUGCGAGCGUUGUCCGGAAUUACUGGGCGUAAAGAGCUCGUAGGUGGUUUGUCGCGUUGUUCGUGAAAACUCACAGCUUAACUGUGGGCGUGCGGGCGAUACGGGCAGACUGGAGUACUGCAGGGGAGACUGGAAUUCCUGGUGUAGCGGUGGAAUGCGCAGAUAUCAGGAGGAACACCCGUGGCGAAGGCGGUUCUCUGGGACGGUACUGACGCUGAGACGCGAAAGCGUGGGGAGCGAACAGG